AGAAUCAACGCUGGCGGCGUGCCUAACACAUGCAAGUCGAACGAGAAAGUGGAGCAAUCCAUGAGUAAAGUGGCGACCGGGUGAGUAACACGUGACUAACCUACCUUCAAGUGGGGGAUAACCUCGGGAAACCGGGGCUAAUACCGCAUAACAUCUUUGGAGUGGAAAUUCUGAAGAUCAAAGGAGCAAUUCGCUGGAAGAGGGGGUCGCGGCUGAUUAGCUAGUUGGCGGGGUAAUGGCCCACCAAGGCUUUGAUCGGUAGCCGGCCUGAGAGGGCGCACGGCCACACUGGAACUGAAACACGGUCCAGACUCCUACGGGAGGCAGCAGUGGGGAAUUUUGCGCAAUGGGGGAAACCCUGACGCAGCAACGCCGCGUGGAGGAUGAAGUCCCUUGGGACGUAAACUCCUUUCGAUCGGGACGAUAAUGACGGUACCGGAAGAAGAAGCCCGGCUAACUUCGCGCCAGCAGCCGC
rnacentral:rRNA from 1 species